rnacentral:rRNA from 1 species
GAUCAUUAAUGGUACAAUGGAGGUGCUGGGGUUGUCGCUGACUUGUGAAAGGGUCGUGCACGCCUUGGUGCUUUCGCACAUAAUCCAUUUCACCCCUUUGUGCAUUACCGGCGUGGGGACCCCUUUUAGCUAGGGGUCUUCACGUUUUUACAAAUUUUAAACCCAAUGAAUGUGUAGAAUGUCUUACUUUUUGCGAUCACACGCAAUCAAUACAACUUUCAACAACGGAUCUCUUGGCUCUCGCAUCGAUGAAGAACGCAGCGAAAUGCGAUACGUAAUGUGAAUUGCAGAAUUCAGUGAAUCAUCGAAUCUUUGAACGCACCUUGCGCCCUUUGGCAUUCCGAGGGGCACACCCGUUUGAGUGUCGUGACAUCUUCAAACCUUCUUGGUUUCUUGACCGGGAAGGCUUUGGACAUUGGAGGCUUUUGCUGGUGUUCCUUUGUUGGAGCCAGCUCCUCUGAAAUGGAUUAGUGGGGUCUGCUUUGCCUAUCCUCGACGUGAUAAGAUGUUUUCUACGUCUUGGGUUUUGCACUGUUUCCUGCUUCUAACCGUCUCACAGAAGACAAUGGUCAAGUGAUUGCCACUUGACCGCACGAACCUGACCUCAAAUCUGUGAAA